GCCAGUUGAUGAUGAUGAUUACUUAAUUAAUUGGUAGCAUUCGUCAAAUAAACGGACCACAAUGGUAAGUAUCAGUUAAUACCCAGCUGAGAUUCUACCCCACAGGACCCCUGGGGCGUGCUGCAGCACUGAUCACUUAGUGAUGACACUUGGUCUGACCUUUCUCUUCAUCAGCUUCAAGGCAGACAGCACUAGAAGGACUGGAAUACAGCUGAUGUUCACCCAGACUGUUUUCACAAGUAAAGAUCUUAAAGAGCUGAUUCUUACAUCACUAGGAUUUCUAAACAAGAAAGAAUGAAGACUGAAGAUGGAACAACUUGUUGCAAGCAAGACUACAGCAAACUUAAUUCCCACCUUGUUGCCAUACACUCAUCCUCAGAAGCGGGGUGGCUCUAAAGCUUGUUCUUAACCUGGCAUUUUUUCAAGCCCCUUUAGUUUCAGUUUAAUUCUUAUUGUUGCCACAUCUGUGCUGAUCACAAGAGGAAAAGUGUCUGAGAUAUGAGGUAGGGCUCCUAUGGGUGAGUAACUCUCUGAGACUUCCCAACAGGCACAAAGAGAGGCUAUAACUCUCUCAUCUUACUAAAAAGUUUAAAGAUCGUUGCCUGACACCAUACCAACAUAGUCUAUCAGCUCAGAAGCCAAAAAGCCAUAUGAUUUCAGAUAAAUUUCCCUCCUAGAAGCAGCUGGGCCAUUAAAACAAAAAGCUAGUGGUGAUAAAGGUUACAUACAUGCCCAGAUAAAUUGCUGCUGGAUCAAAGCAUCAGCAGAGAACAAGAUUUCUUAUUUCCCAGGCCUGAGCACCACAAGUAUGCAGAGGUCUCCCUGCCCUAACACGGAAGAGAAGUUUAAAGCAUGAGCCUUUUGAGAUGCUUUGACCCAGGGCCCUGAAUUUAACUCACCUUGGAGACACCGAGAUGACUGCUGGUUUUUUUCCAAGGACAUUUUACAAUGAUGGUACAGAAGAAAGAUGUUGGAAAAAAAAAAACACCCCAAACAGUCUUCUUGGCUGGAAACUAACCUCACUUUAGCUGCAGAUCAGCUACUACCUACCUAAAACUGUUCAGCAGAUGUUACCAGGGUGUUUUACCUUUCGUCACACUUCCAAGAUGGGCCUUCAAAAGCCUGUUUUUACCAUCAGUGGCUCACUA
rnacentral:lncRNA from 1 species